UACGUAGGUGGCUAGCGUUGUCCGGAUUUACUGGGCGUAAAGAGCGCGCAGGCGGUCGUUCAAGUCGAGUGUGAAAGCCCCCGGCUCAACUGGGGAGGGUCACUCGAUACUGAUCGACUCGAAGGCAGGAGAGGGAAGCGGAAUUCCCGGUGUAGUGGUGAAAUGCGUAGAUAUCGGGAGGAACACCAGUGGCGAAGGCGGCUUCUGGCCUGGCUCUUGACGCUGAGGCGCGAAAGCCUAGGGUAGCAAACGGG
rnacentral:rRNA from 1 species